rnacentral:rRNA from 1 species
UACGGAGGGUGCAAGCGUUAUCCGGAUUCACUGGGUUUAAAGGGUGCGUAGGUGGGCCUGUAAGUCAGUGGUGAAAUCUCCGGGCUUAACCCGGAAACUGCCAUUGAUACUAUAAGUCUUGAAUUUUCUGGAGGUCAGCGGAAUAUGUCAUGUAGCGGUGAAAUGCUUAGAUAUGACAUAGAACACCGAUUGCGAAGGCAGCUGACUACGGGAACAUUGACACUGAGGCACGAAAGCGUGGGGAUCAAACAGG